rnacentral:misc_RNA from 1 species
GGACAUAACGGCUUGUUAAAGGAACUGUCUAUUAAUAUAGAUGGAAAUGGUGUAUCACUGGUUCCAGACUUGCUGCUAACUUGAACGCACGCUAGGAAGCUCGUUGAUAUGACUUUACUUUUGAAGAUCCUAGGCCUCUGAACGGUUUAGAUUUCUCGGUAAUUUGUAAUCUGUCGCUGCUAACGUAGCCUAGCAGUGGUACCACUUAGGAAGAAGAUACGAGGUAAAGAGAACUUUGGAGCACUAUGGCUUCUGUCUCAAAUAAAUUGGGUUUGCUCGAGGUUUAUGUGCCUAGUUCAAAGUUCUCUUUACCUCGUAUCUUC